CCUUUAUUCAACAUGUCCACACUGAGAACCCACUGUGUACAAGGAAAUACUAAUAGCAAAUUUUAUGCUUUGGGGUUGACAACACACUUGCGUAUUCAUUUUCCAUUCAAUCAGCAUUGAAUCCCUGUAAAAUAGAUGGUAGAGGCAUUCUCAUCUUACACAUAUUUGCGUUCUGAAGCUCCGGAAGAUUAAAUGAUUUGCUCAUCACAGCUGGUAAGUGGCAGCACUUGAACACGAACCCGAGAGUCCUGACAGCAAUUCCUCUGACUAUGCUUCUCUGUCAUGUCACCUCAUCUUAGGGAUAUGACAUAUUGUCUUCUACCAAUCUACUUGUUGUAUGUGGGAUAGUUGAGAGCAGGAUACUUAGGAAAUUAUUUUGGCCAUCCAACCUCCUCCAUUGUGACAUCAGAGCAGUGACUUCUACUUCUUGCCUUCUCCCAUUUUACCAGUGGCGUAGCUGGGUGCAGGCACAGUUUUGGGGUGAGGAGGUCAGUUCUCCAUCGGCAUGCCCUGAGAUAACCCAGAAGGGAAGUCGUAUCUGCUGCCUGCCAAGCACCUCCACGGAGCCUGGAGGAGCCUUCACGGUUCUGCAAGCAGGAAUUCCGCUGAAAUUACCAUCUGCAGAGUCAGACAAGCCUUUCAGCAGCACAGAGGCUCUCUGUGUGGGCAGAGUCUCCCACAUGUGGCUGGUUGGCACGGCCAGCCAGCUGUGGGUCACCUGUGGGCACCAGGCAGGCAAAGCCACAUACUGAGCAAGGAGAAAAAUCAUAACCCUGUGGAAACUAGGAAACCAUUCACGCUUCUUUUAAACGAGUAAAGGUUUCAAGUUAACCUGAAGUAAAUUCCUCACCUUGGAAAAGGAUGAAUGCAUUUUCGUGAAAGGUGAUUUAUUCACUGACAACAUUGCAAACAUUUAUUUUUACCCUCAAUAAAAAGGAUA
ensembl:lncRNA